UAGGGAAUCUUCCACAAUGGGCGAAAGCCUGAUGGAGCGACGCCGCGUGUGUGAUGAAGGGUUUCGGCUCGUAAAACACUGUUGUAAGAGAAGAAUGACAUUGAGAGUAACUGUUCAAUGUGUGACGGUAUCUUACCAGAAAGGAACGGCUAAAUACGUGUCAG
rnacentral:rRNA from 1 species